GUCGGAAUGUUAUUCAUCGCUGCUGGACCUUUCGGGACCUUUUGAAAGCGCCGUGUCAGCAGUUUUUGUGCCCAGUGGUGGUUGCACUAUGAGGGGUCCUGUUUACACCUGUACCACCUCCUUCCUGGGGACGCCAAGGCCAAGAUCCUGAAGAUUUUUUUUCCUUGAUCAGAAAGGUUAAAGAUGCCAUUAAAGAGGCGACUGCUGUCCGUGUUGUUGUACUGUGUUCACCGUGUGGCCUCGCUCUUCUGCCUGCACCCAAAGCACAACAAGAACUGCCUCUCUGGGGGAACCCGGAAUCUGGUGUCCGUCAUCCAGCAGCUUGCCCAGAGGGCCACUCGGCUGAUGCGGACCAUUCUGUGAUCCACCCCUCCGUCACCCAUAGCACCCUCAAAGCUACUGGACUACUACUACUACUAUUCCACCAAAUUGGAACAAUUCCAUUAUGAUUAUUCUCAUUUACUGGCAUUAUUUGCGUGAAUGAAAUUAAACUAAGUAAUUUAUGCUA